CUGUUUCUCUCUAUGGCACUGGAAGAAUUCACGGGGACUCAAUGUUAUUCCGUGGUUUCUCUAGUGCUGUGAAGAGCAGCGG
rfam:Tetranychus urticae London genomic scaffold, scaffold_35